CAUGGGAAUUUCUACUCCAUUUUGGAUAACAGUUCAUAUACCUGAAAAUUCAUUGUCCUUUACAGAGAAUUUUCAAGCUGAUUUUUACGUUCCCUCGAAAAAUUUUAAAGCAUUUUUAAUCAAAAUGAUUGAAAAUGAUCAGUACUUUGGACUUUGGCAGUGGUGUAUCGGAGGGAACGGUUGUAUUGAUUUAGGUUGGAUAUCCAUGUUUAUAUCCAACACGGAUUGGCAUGCAUGGCCAGAUGAACUUAAUACACUCAUAGAUUUCUGGAUAGCAACACGAGUUUUUGCAACGCUUGGAUUUAUAACUGCUGUCAUUGUAACUGCAGUAUUUCUAUGGUUUCUUUGCAGACGAACAGGCACUGGAUGUUGCUAUCACGGUUUUAUCGUGAUUGGAUGUUUCGUUACAGGGGGCUUACUAGCCGUUUCUGUGGCAGUUUUCCUUACAGCAGUCAAUAAUCUAGCCAGUAAUCAAAACAUCAAUAUAAGUUUUUCUUUCGGGAUGACCUGCAUUGCGGCCAUUUUAUAUAGUUUCAAUGGAUUUACAAUCGUAGUUGCUUUAUGUACUGGGACUGGCACCAUCGGAAGAAAAAAUACCAAAUAGCUUAAAGAAGAGGAGUGUGUUAACUACUGAGUUUACAAUUGUGAAGUGAUGCUUCUUGCUUAUACAAUUAUAUUGUGACUUUUUCCAAGAAUAUGUAUGUUCCUUCAAAAUUAAAUACGUGUAACAUCUAGUUUUAUAA